GAUCCUGUGUCCCACUCUCUCUCUGCCCCUCCCUCCUCUCAAAAAUAAAUGAAAACAUUAAAAAAAAAAAAACUUAAAAAAAAAUAAAAAGAGAGGCAAGGAUAAAUAUCAUAGAUAAAGGAAAACCACAGUUGUAAGCUUGAAGCAGAACUCAGCCAAAACUGGAGGAAUUAUGUCACAGGACUGGCAUAAGGAAGUCAGGAGGGUGGAGAUGAAGGUGUUGCAAAUAAAGUGCUGUGGAAAUGUGCUGUCAACCUGUUGAUGAGCACAGACGUUCAGGAAGUGGGAUUAUAAAGGCUCAGCACCACUUCUUUAAAAAGUGACAUCUAACUUCGUAUUUUACUUCAAAAUAAUGGCAGUUUGGGGAAAGGUGGUACACCUGGCAUGUCUGACUUCAUGAGAAAAGCAUUCGAUGAGCUUUUUUUCCAUGGCAUCCUGGCGGACACGACGGGGACCCAAAGGUCAGAUAAGGCAAGCUGUUAUUCCACAGAUGAGUUGAGUGAAUUACAUAAUAAGGAAUCAACUACCUGAACGUGGGCAGUCGGGGAGUAUCAGAGGUUGGAAGGUCCAAUUACCAGGACACACGUGGACUCUCUGGUGAGGACUGGGAAACACGGGGUGAUCUGCUCUGGCACAGCACAGGGGAGAUGGCCCCCAACAUCCAGAUCCAGGAAAAAAAGGAGGGGGGCAAUGGCAUGGUUAAAAGAAGAAUCCAGGCAUUUCAGAGAAGGAAAUGGCCAGAGGAGAGAGCCUGCCUUGAAGAAUUUGGGAAACAAGUAAACCACCAGGCGAUGAUCAUUCACACAAUGAAUCCUGAAGUCGCAGUUUAAGCGGGGAACUUGGGGGCGGAGCGGGGUGAAAAGGAAAGAAAAACUGAAAUAUUCACCAUAAUCAAGAAGAACAUAUGUUCGUCCGGGAUUAUUGCCAGUGAAACCUCAUUUCCUUCCGAACACGUACACAAAGUUACUGGGGUCUCUCCCUACCUACAUCCCCCCCCCACCCCAACACACUCACACCAGACAAUUUCACUCUCCUCUGCAGAUUCCGGGGAGGUAUCCUGGAGACAGACAUCAAAGGAAUUAGAGCUGGCAGCCCAGAACAGGUCAUGCUGUCAGAGGGAGGCUAGGAACCACAUGAAAAGCAGGGAAUUCACAGGGCGUUUAUUAUUAUUAUUAUUAUUUUUUAAAGAGCUCAGAAAUGUCUCUCGUUUUAGUUUUAGUUUAAGGACAGCUACCUCUGGGGAAAAGGCUUUGAAGUCAUCUCGCCCAGAGCAGCAAGCAGCAGAGGGAGGAAAAUGCUGCGCCCAGUGGAAAAAAACAGAGGGAUCCACGUCGGCUUACAGGUUUGGCCUCUCUUCGCUAAAUGAUAACCCAGAAGAUUUAUGCUUGAUAUAAGGACAUGAAGGAAAAGGAAAAGGAAAAGCCGCCAGAUAUAAAUAGGGUAGCCGGGACCGGAUCUGAAAAGGCUACAAGGCUACAAUUGCAACUGCCUUCCUGAGCAGCCGCAGUUUAUAGAGAUUAAGUUAAAGAGACCCUGGUAGGACCCCACUGACGACCUCUUAUUUGGAGGCUCAAGUGCUGGAAGACAAGAGUGGCCUGACAGGCAGACGAAGCAUGCCACUCGGACUGUGUGCUGCUCGAGACAGCGCUACCUGAGAUGCCCGGGAUGGGAGGUCCCAGGGCAGAGGUGUGGUAUCUACAGCAGAGAUGUGACAAACAGGCGGGCCGCCAGUCACGGCUGACAGCCAGCAGGAAGGAAACGAGAAAAAAGUCCGAGCAUAAAGUUGACCCCAACUCAGCAGCACCAACCAACACAGAAGAAAGAGAACAGAGACGGUCCCUGCUAGAACUGCCCAUGUGUCCAGCAUCUUCCCGGCUCCUGUGGGGAUAUUAAGGAGCUGAAGUAGCAAUUAACUUCGCAUUGACAAUCCCAAGAUCUGAAAGGAGACUCUAUUGGCAUCAAGGCAGAGGGGACAGAGGGCCACCAAGUGGAAAUUACAAGCCCCACCUGUGCACAAACACGGGACCUGACAAAACUUUAUUCAAGGGCAAAUGAGCCAUACAAACCAGAAUAUUCCACAACACCAAACAUUCCACAACAGAAAUAUUCCACAACACCAAAAGCAAGAUGUUGCAUUUAAGAUACAAAGAACAGACCACCGAAAA